rnacentral:tRNA from 1 species
ACCUGGCUGGCUCAGUUGUCGGUAGAGCAUGUGACUUCUGAUCUCCAGGUCAUGAGUUUGAGCCCCAUGCUGGGGG